CAGCAGCCGCGGUAAUACGAAGGGGGCUAGCGUUGUUCGGAUUUACUGGGCGUAAAGGGCGCGUAGGCGGACUGAUAAGUCAGGGGUGAAAUCCCAAGGCUCAUCCUUGGAACUGCCUUUGAUACUGUUUGUCUUGAGUUCGAGAGAGGUAAGUGGAACUGCGAGUGUAGAGGUGAAAUUCGUAGAUAUUCGCAAGAACACCAGUGGCGAAGGCGGCUUACUGGCUCGAUACUGACGCUGAGGCGCGAAAGCGUGGGGAGCAAACAGGAUUAGAUACCCCCGUAGUCCCUGUCUCUUAUAC
rnacentral:rRNA from 1 species